GACUUCCUACGGGGGGCAGCAGUGGGGAAUAUUGCACAAUGGGCGCAAGCCUGAUGCAGCGACGCCGCGUGAGCGAAGAAGUAUUUCGGUAUGUAAAGCUCUAUCAGCAGGGAAGAUAAUGACGGUACCUGACUAAGAAGCCCCGGCUAACUACGUGCCAGCAGCCGCGGUAAUACGUAGGGGGCAAGCGUUAUCCGGAUUUACUGGGUGUAAAGGGUGCGUAGGUGGCAGGGCAAGUCAGAUGUGAAAGCCCGGGGCCCAACCCCGGUACUGCAUUUGAAACUGUCCGGCUGGAGUGCAGGAAG
rnacentral:rRNA from 1 species